GAUGAACGCUGGCGGCGUGCCUAAUACAUGCAAGUCGAGCGAACAGAUGAGGAGCUUGCUCCUCUGACGUUAGCGGCGGACGGGUGAGUAACACGUGGAUAACCUGCCUAUAAGACUGGGAUAACUUCGGGAAACCGGAGCUAAUACCGGAUAAUAUAUUGAACCGCAUGGUUCAAUAGUGAAAGACGGUUUUGCUGUCACUUAUAGAUGGAUCCGCGCCGCAUUAGCUAGUUGGUAAGGUAACGGCUUACCAAGGCAACGAUGCGUAGCCGACCUGAGAGGGUGAUCGGCCACACUGGAACUGAGACACGGUCCAGACUCCUACGGGAGGCAACAGUAGGGAAUCUUCCGCAAUGGGCGAAAGCCUGACGGAGCAACGCCGCGUGAGUGAUGAAGGUCUUCGGAUCGUAAAACUCUGUUAUUAGGGAAGAACAAAUGUGUAAGUAACUAUGCACGUCUUGACGGUACCUAAUCAGAAAGCCACGGCUAACUACGUG
rnacentral:rRNA from 1 species